rnacentral:rRNA from 1 species
GAUGAACGCUGGCGGCGUGCCUAAUACAUGCAAGUCGAGCGAACAGAUAAGGAGCUUGCUCCUUUGACGUUAGCGGCGGACGGGUGAGUAACACGUGGGUAACCUACCUAUAAGACUGGGAUAACUUCGGGAAACCGGAGCUAAGACCGGAUAAUAUUUCGAACCGCAUGGUUCGAUAGUGAAAGAUGGUUUUGCUAUCACUUAUAGAUGGACCCGCGCCGUAUUAGCUAGUUGGUAAGGUAAGGGCUUACCAAGGAGACGAUACGUAGCCGACCUGAGAGGGUGAUCGGCCACACUGGAACUGGGACACGGUCCAGGCUCCUGCGGGAGGCAGCAGUAGGGAAUCUGGCGCGAUGGGCGAAAGCCUGACGGAGCAAAGCCGCGUGAGUGAUGAAGGUCUUCGGAUCCUAAAACUCUGUUAUUAGGGAAGAACAUACGUGUAAGUAGCUGUGCACGUCUUGACGGUACCUAAUCAGAAAGCCACGGCUAACUACGUG